CUACGGGCCGCAGCAGUGGGGAAUAUUGCGCAAUGGGCGAAAGCCUGACGCAGCAACGCCGCGUGAGGGAUGACGGCCUUCGGGUUGUAAACCUCUUUCAGCAGGGAAGAAGCGAAAGUGACGGUACCUGCAGAAGAAGCACCGGCUAACUACGUGCCAGCAGCCGCGGUAAUACGUAGGGUGCAAGCGUUGUCCGGAUUUAUUGGGCGUAAAGAGCUCGUAGGCGGUUAGUCACGUCGGAUGUGAAAUCCCAAGGCUUAACCUUGGGUCUGCAUUCGAUACGGGUUGACUAGAGUGUUGUAGGGGAGACUGGAACUCCUGGUGUAGCGGUGAAAUGCGCAGAUAUCAGGAAGAACACCGGUGGCGAAGGCGGGUCUCUGGGCAACUACUGACGCUGAGGAGCGAAAGCGUGGGGAGCAAACAGGAUUAGAUACCCGCGUAGUC
rnacentral:rRNA from 1 species